rnacentral:rRNA from 1 species
UGAGACUCUGUGCGCGUGCAUAUCAAUAAGCGGAGGAAAAGGAAACUAACAAGGAUUCCCUUAGUAACGGCGAGUGAAGCGGGAAGAGCUCAAAUUUGAAAUCAUUCAAGGUUCUACCUUGACGAAUUGUAGUUUAUAGAAGUGUUUUCUGUUAGUAGGAGUGGCAAAAGUUCUUUGGAAUAGGACAUCAUAGAGGGUGAGAAUCCCGUAUUUGGUACCAUUCUUUCCUAGCUUUGUGAUACACUUUACAACGAGUCGGAUUGUUUGGGAAUGCAGUCCAAAAUGGGUGGUAAAUUUCAUCUAAAGCUAAAUAUUGGCGAGAGACCGAUAGCGAACAAGUACCGUGAGGGAAAGAUGAAAAGAACUUUGAAAAGAGAGUUAAACAGUACGUGAAAUUGUCAAAAGGGAAGCGUUUGACACCAGUGUUGUUUUUCCGAAAAUCAAUUACGAAUGUUUUGUUUUUAAGAAGUUAUGACUUCAUCGGCUUGCUUCUCUCUUUACUGAAACUUUCUUAAUGCACUUUUCGGUUAACAAGUCAACAUCAAUUUCUUUUGUUGUAAAAGGGUAUGAGGAAGGUGGCUUUCUUUUCGGAGAAAGUGUUUAUAGCCUUGUACCUCUGCAAUCGGAGAGAUUGAGGUCUGCAGCGUAGAUCCUUCGGGGUUAGAUACAUUUGUGCUAAGUUAUAGCUUUUCAUAGACAACUUGUUGACUAUGUUAAGUCUUGUAGCUUACUCGCUUAUGCUAUUUUACCUACGCUUAGGAUGUUGACGAUCAGCUGAGCGCG